GACGAACGCUGGCGGCGUGCCUAAUACAUGCAAGUCGAGCGAAUCGAUGGGAGCUUGCUCCCUGAGAUUAGCGGCGGACGGGUGAGUAACACGUGGGUAACCUGCCUGUAAGACUGGACUAACUUCGGGAAACCGGAGCUAAUACCGGAUACUUUCUUUUCUCGCAUGAGGGAAUAUGGAAAGAUGGUUCUGCUAUCACUUACAGAUGGACCCGCGGCGCAUUAGCUAGUCGGUGAGGUAACGGCUCACCAAGGCAACGAUGCGUAGCCGACCUGAGAGGGUGAUCGGCCACACGGGGACUGAGACACGGCCCAGACUCCUACGGGAGGCAGCAGUAGGGAAUCUUCCGCAAUGGACGAAAGUCUGACGGAGCAACGCCGCGUGAGCGAAGAAGGCCUUCGGGUCGUAAAGCUCUGUUGUUAGGGAAGAACAAGUACGAGAGUAACUGCUCGUACCUUGACGGUACCUAACCAGAAAGCCACGGCUAACUACGUGCCAGCAGCCGCCGUAAUAC
rnacentral:rRNA from 1 species